rnacentral:lncRNA from 1 species
CUCAGACUGGCCUAAUUUCCCAUCAUCUGUUUGCAGUUGUAACUCUAUAAACAUGGAUGGCACUCUGAUGCGUAAGGCCAUGCAGGCAGAACCAGAGAAUUAUAUGGGUCAAAUGGCUACCGGACAGUACUGGACCUGGGGGACCCGCUCAAGAGAGUACCGGAUGCAUUCUCCAGCAGGUAGUGUUUCUCAGAGGGCCUGGACUCCUCACUACACACCCCAACACAACCCCACACACCACCUGCAGCAGCAGCAGCCCACGGCACAGGUCCGCCCGCACCCUCCGCCGGACUACCAGCACAACGUCUACAUCCCCGGCACACCGUCCGGCUUCUGCACCCUGCGGCCCAGCUACCGCAGUGAGCUCGACGUUCACAACUCAUUCUCCACCUUCGGCAAGAAACAUAGGUUCAUCUCUCCCAGCAGCUACGACCCGCAUGACGACACGGGGGCAGAGGUCAUCAACAAUGACUUAUAUAAUGAAUAAAAUAAGACAAAAGGACCUAUGUUGUGAUGAUGAACGAAAAGAGUGACUUAUUACCAAAGCAUAGCACUCAUUAUGUAGUCUCAGCCUCAGAUGGACAGACACAGUCCAUUCUUUGACCAUUUGAUGCAUAUUGCACAUGCAAUGCAACUUCCGUUGAUUUGGGGAAGAAAAUUGUUUUAAAAUAAUACAAGGUUGAUAUUGUUUUUAAUGGUUUUGCCAUAGUUUGCCUGGAUCGUGCUUGAAAUCUUUGAAAGUUAUUCAGGAGCGGAACUGUUUAUCCCACUUUGUUUUCUGUCUGUGAACUUGUUUAGCAGGACAGAAACUCUUAUCACAAAAUCUAAAAAUAAACCUCCCCCGUUUUGCAGAGAUUUUUAGAGUGCAACAGUGCCUAAACAUUUUCUCAGUGGACUUGAUUCCAGAAGUGUUUUUCCCAUUCACUUUUUUCCCAUAAGGAUUUAAAAAAAGAGUCUUCAUUAAAAAGUUUUAAGCCAUAAACCAACCAAGCAGUUAUGAAUUUAAUCACAACA